UGGGGAAUAUUGGACAAUGGGCGAAAGCCUGAUCCAGCAAUGCCGCGUGUGUGAAGAAGGUCUUCGGAUUGUAAAGCACUUUCGACGGGGACGAUGAUGACGGUACCCGUAGAAGAAGCCCCGGCUAACUUCGUGCCAGCAGCCGCGGUAAUACGAAGGGGGCUAGCGUUGCUCGGAUUGACUGGGCGUAAAGGGCGCGUAGGCGGUUUGUACAGUCAGACGUGAAAUUCCUGGGCUCAACCUGGGGGCUGCGUUUGAUACGUGCGAGCUUGAGUUCGGAAGAGGGUCGUGGAAUUCCCAGUGUAGAGGUGAAAUUCGUAGAUAUUGGGAAGAACACCGGUGGCGAAGGCGGCGACCUGGUCCAAUACUGACGCUGAGGCGCGAAAGCGUGGGGAGCAAACAGGAUUAGAUACCCUGGUAGUCCACGCCGUAAACGAUGUGCGCUGGAUGUUGGGUGACAUAGUCAUUCAGUGUCGUAGCUAACGCGAUAAGCGCACCGCCUGGGGAGUACGGCCGCAAGGUUG
rnacentral:rRNA from 1 species